UACAGAGGUCCCAAGCGUUGUUCGGAUUCACUGGGCGUAAAGGGUGCGUAGGUGGCGAGGUAAGUUCGAUGUGAAAUCCCCGGGCUCAACCCGGGAACUGCAUUGAAAACUCUCUCGCUCGAGGGUCGGAGGGGAGACUGGAAUUCUCGGUGUAGCAGUGAAAUGCGUGGAGAUCGAGAGGAACACCAGUGGCGAAGGCGAGUCUCUGGACGACACCUGACACUGAGGCACGAAAGCUAGGGGAGCAAACAGG
rnacentral:rRNA from 1 species